AGAGUUUGAUUCUGGCUCAGAACGAACGCUGGCAGCGUGGAUUAGGCAUGCAAGUCGAACGAGAAGCUGUUGACCAAUCUUUCGAGAGAGUGAUUCAGUGGAAAGUGGCGAAAGGGUGAGUAACGCGUGGGUAAUCUAUCCCUAAGUGUGGAAUAACUUGUCGAAAGAUGGGCUAAUACCACAUGUGGUCUUCCAACGCAUGUUGGGAAUACUAAAGGUGGGAUCUUCGGAUCCUGUCGCUUAGUGAGGAACCCGCGUCUGAUUAGUUUGUUGGUGAGGUAACGGCUCACCAAGACCGUGAUCAGUAGCUGGUCUGAGAGGAUGGUCAGCCACACUGGGACUGAGACACUGCCCAGACUCCUACGGGAGGCUGCAGUCGAGGAUCAUUUGCAAUGCGCGAAAGCGUGACAAUGCGACGCUGCGUGGAGGAUGAAGGCUCUAGGGUUGUAAACUCCUGUCAUGCGGGAAAAAUAGCUGCGGGAAGAUAACGCUCGUAGUUUGAUGGUACCGCAAGAGGAAGCCACGGCUAACUUCGUGCCAGCAGCCGCGGUAAUACGAAGGUGGCUAGCGUUGUUCGGAUUUACUGGGCGUAAAGGGUGCGUAGGUGGUAGCGUGUGUCGGAUGUGAAAUCCCGGGGCUCAACCCCGGAACUGCAUCCGAAACUGCGUAACUAGAGACUAGGAGAGGAGAGCGGAAUUCAGGGUGUAGCGGUGAAAUGCGUUGAUAUCCUGAAGAACACCGGUUGCGAAGGCGGCUCUCUGGAAUGGAUCUGACACUGAGGCACGAAAGCGUGGGUAGCGAACAGGAUUAGAUACCCUGGUAGUCCACGCCGUAAACGGUGCGCACUUGGUGUGGGAGGUAUUGACCCCUCCCGUGCCGUAGCUAACGCGUUAAGUGCGCCGCCUGGGGAGUACGGCCGCAAGGCUAAAACUCAAAGAAAUUGACGGGGGCCCGCACAAGCGGAGGAGCAUGUGGCUUAAUUCGAUGCAACGCGAAGAACCUUACCAGGGCUUGACAUCUAGCUGCACGCCCCGGGAAACCGGGGAAGCUUUCGAAGGUGCUAGACAGGUGCUGCAUGGCUGUCGUCAGUUCGUGCCGUGAGGUGUUUGGUUAAGUCCAGCAACGAACGCAACCCUUAUGUUUAGUUGCCACCGGCGGUGAUGAGCCGUCGAGCUCUCUAGACAGACUGCCCGUACAAGCGGGAGGAAGGUGGGGAUGACGUCAAGUCAGUAUGGCCCUUACGCCCUGGGCUGCACACGUGCUACAAUGGUCGGUACAGUUGGAAGCAAUACCGCGAGGUGGAGCAAAUCCCUAAAACCGGCCCCAGUUCGGAUUGGAGUCUGCAAUUCGACUCCAUGAAGUUGGAUUCGCUAGUAAUGGCGUAUCAGAUACGACGCCGUGAAUGCGUUCCCGGGCCUUGUACACACCGCCCGUCACAUCAUGAAAGCCGACUGCACCCGUAAUCGCAGAUCUAACCCGCAAGGGAGGAAGGCGCUGAAGGUGUGGGUGGUGAUUGGGAUGAAGUCGAAACAAGGUA
rnacentral:rRNA from 1 species